CCUACGGGUGGCAGCAGUGGGGAAUAUUGGACAAUGGGCGAAAGCCUGAUCCAGCCAUGCCGCGUGUGUGAAGAAGGCCUUCGGGUUGUAAAGCACUUUCAGUGGGGAAGAAAGCCUUGGGGCUAAUACCCUCGAGGAAGGACAUCACCCACAGAAGAAGCACCGGCUAACUCCGUGCCAGCAGCCGCGGUAAUACGGAGGGUGCGAGCGUUAAUCGGGAUUACUGGGCGUAAAGCGCGCGUAGGCGGUCUGAUAAGCCGGUUGUGAAAGCCCCGGGCUCAACCUGGGAACGGCAUCCGGAACUGUCAGGCUAGAGUGCAGGAGAGGAAGGUAGAAUUCCCGGUGUAGCGGUGAAAUGCGUAGAGAUCGGGAGGAAUACCAGUGGCGAAGGCGGCCUUCUGGACUGACACUGACGCUGAGGUGCGAAAGCGUGGGUAGCAAACAGGAUUAGAUACCCGGGUAGUC
rnacentral:rRNA from 1 species